UCUCUGGGGUGGGAUGGCAUCAUGGCAGUGAGAGCCAAAAAACGUUCUGCGUGGUGGUCCUUCGCAUUUCCUGAAAGGGCCCUAAUGUAAUCGGGUGCUGGAAAAGUCACUCCCCCUUCCUAGAGUGUGUAAAUGCUGAGAAUGGGCAACAAGGAGCUCAAAGAUGCACCAGAAAGGGAACGAUUCCAUCGACUGUGGGUAGCCCUAAGGUUUACACACAUGUGUUUUGCAAAGCAGGGGUUUACUGAAUAUGUGGUUUGUUUGUUUGUUUUAAUCACCUGUUUUCGACAUUUAUGGUGGUGGUGAGUAUUUCCCAUGGCAUUCCGUGGAGUGUUAUUUCAAAGUAUGUACGUAGAUUGGCUCCUUCAUUGCAUCAGAUGAUUUUUUUUUUUUAAUAGCUAUUUUUUAGAGGAGUUCUAUAUUCACAGCCAACUGGAAAAGUGCUGAGAGUUCUCAGAUCCCUCUCCCCCUACUCCGGCACAGACCACCUCCUCCCCCCGACCAUCAACAUCUCCUACCUUACAACUGAUGAACCUACAUUGACACAUCAUCACCCAGAGUCCAUAUGUUUGGGCUCACUCUUGGUGUUGUAUGUUCUAUGGGUUUGGACAAAUGUAUACUGACAGGUGUCCCCUAUCAUAGUGUCCUGCAGAAUAGCUUGCUUGCCUUCAAAGUCCUCUAGGCUCCAGCUGUUCUUCCCUCCCUCCCCCUUAACCGCUGACUACCACUGAUCUUUUUACUGUCUCCAUGAUUUUACCUUUGCCAGGAUAUUACAUACUUGGAAUCGUACAGUAUAUAGCCAUUCCAGAUGGGUUUCUUUCAUGUACCGUUCCUCCAUGUCUUCUCGUGGCUGGCUCAUUCCUUUUCGGCACUGAAUAACUGGGUACACUAGUUUAUCCAUCCAGCUGCUGGAGGACAUCUUGGUUGCUUCCAAGUUUUGGUAUGGACAAAAGUUUUCAACUCUCUUACCAAGGAGCACGAUGGCCAGAGCACAUGGUAUAUGGCUGAAAGAAGUCAAGUAGAGAGACUCAGAUGCUUGCCCAUGAAUCUCCGUAGCACCAGCAUCACAGUGGCCAAAACGAGGAGUCAACCCAAGUGUAUCUGAGAUGAACAAAAUGUGAUCUAGCCAUAUAACAGAAUGUUGAAACAAGUGAAAGAAGCCAGCACGAAAGGACAAAUUACUGUAUGGUUCCAGAGUCCUCAAGAAAAAGUAGAUGAGAGGUUACCAAGAACUGGGAGAAGAAAGUGGGUUGUUGCUUAAUUGGUAUGGUUUCUGUUUGGGAGGAUGAAAAAGUUCUGGAAAUAGAUAGUGGUGAUGGUCACAGGACAUUGUGAAUGUAUCUAAUGGCACUGAAUUGUACACACAAAUUGUUAAAAUGAUAAAUUUUUAUGUAUAUUUUACUACAAUAGAAAACAAACAAGAAACCCUAGCACCACUUAGCUGUCACCACCCCAGUUCCUCCAUCCCCUGGCCCUAGGCAGCCAUUAACCUACUCUCUGUGGAUUUGUCUGUUCUGGACAUUUUAUAUAAAUGAAACCAUACAAUAACACGA